rnacentral:lncRNA from 1 species
CUUACACAAAAUGGUUGACUCGUUUUACUAACAGUCGCUGCUUUCCUGGAAUCUGGUUACUCAAAUUAUUCAGAUCCAUGGAAUAUCUUAAGAAUAAAGACUGCUAUACCAUGUCACUUUAUAUUUAAUUAAAAUCACUGACUGAAGGAAUACCUUACUGCUUUUUUAAAAGGAUUUUUACAUAUAUUCACAAUGAGGAAGGUAGCACAUUUCAGCAUCUUAAAACUUAGUGAUUUUUUCCAUAGCAAUUUUUUUUGAUUAAUCACCUGUCCUAUUUGAGGAUAUUGCAAGUGCGGAUGUUUAGUAACUUUGUUCAGUCUUUCCUUUCAUCCCCUUUGUCUUCUAAUGUCUCUUCCCUUUCCUGCCAAUUCCAUGGUUUCCCUUGUGGUGUUUAGAAGUCAGAUGUUUGGAAUAUUUUAUCUAGUUAUGCUACUGGCUUGAUACAUUGAAAAUAUGAAACGUUUCACUGGAAACACAUGGUCUGUCAACAGUAACAACAUGUCAAUACUGCAUGCCCUAAGUGGAGAGCAUAUUACUUUGUAAUAGCUGUCACAUAAAUGAUAUACCAGUUUCUUCCUGACGAUGGCAUCAGUUGUACAAGUUUGCCAUUGCAACUGGGGGUGUUGCAGACAGAAAACAUCUGGCAAAGGAGCAACCGGAGUGGUGCACAGUCCCACGAAAGAAGACAGCUUUAUGCGUGAAACACCUUUGAAAAAUCAUUUGAGCAGCUUAACGUUUUAGGAACAACUGUGGAAGCUAUCACUAACAAUCUCCUUGCUGAAGACAGAUGGUGUUUUAAUACCGGCAUUUCACUACUGCAGAAACUUUCGACAUGUUGGCUAGCUUGUUCUACAGUACUUGGUUUUUGAGGAAAAAGUAUGAAAGCAUAAGCUGAAAACUAAUCUGGAAGAUGAGAGAGAAAAGUUAGUUGCAGUUACGGAUCUAAGAGCACUUUGUGGUGUGUUAGAAGUCGGAGGGAUCAUGGAGCGCGCACGAGAAGCAGCUGCUCCCUGGCCCGGGGUGGCAGUUACACAAGGUGCAGGAUUCUGCCUUCAGAAGCACAUGGAUUUCCUCAUUCAUUCGGGAGUGGAGUGUAACGGCCCCUCGUGCCCUGGUGCCACCUGGCAGUGCCCUGGUGCCACCUGGCAGCGCGGAAGCAGCGGGGGCACGUGUCAGCAGCAGUCCCCUCUGCCGGCUGCCUGUGGGUGCGUGAUCAUUCAAUUUUAAAAGACUUUUUUUAUCGGACAAUACGCGAGCAGGAAUUUGAAGCACAUUAUUCUGUUGCUUUGGCAACACCAACUGCUAGAACUUUGCAAGGCUUCACCUAAGAUGUCUGAAGACUAAAGUUACUAAGGUUUUUUGUUCAUACGCGGAUAAAGCUUAAUUUCAUGGAGUUGUACAUUCUCGGGCACACUUGUUGCCUUUUCUCUUAACUUGGGGGGAGACAGUCAUGGUUCCAGUUCUGUAAAGCUUGCAAUACUGUUACUUUAACAGAGGAAGCGUAUGCAGCAGUCUGUUAGAGAGUGCAUUUAACUACGGACCGCAGGAGCAGACAGAGUUUGUCUGUGUAGCAACAGCUCCCCCAACCAAUCAGCAGAGAUGUUAGAGAGAGUGGAAGCAUUUUUAACACUUCCUCUCCUUUAAUUUUUAACAUGUUCUUUUCUGAUCCCCCUCCUCCACUGCAGGCUUAGGGUGACGUCCUGAAGCUUUCCCUCUCUUUUGUGCAAUAGAAGUUGGGUGUUAGAAGCAAUUACCAAGUCAAACUAAGCCCUUUUUAAAAUAUUUUAGUUUUGACCCGUAUCUGCCAGGAAAAGGUUCCGGUAUGCUGUUUUGUUCUGUCUUUCCAUAAAUUUCUAUGCUGUGCCAGCUGUUCGGUUUAGCUAAGAUGUCCGAAUUUCUGUGUACGCAUAUUUCAAGAGGGCUUAGGAGAUAAUGAACACAUUUUAUGAGGAUUUACUGCUUUUUCCCCAACUUCCAUUUUAAUCUUCCAAUUAAAAGGACUACAGUAAAAGGAGUACUGGAAAGCUGCUGCAUACAACAGAACAGAACUAAUACCGUAUCCCGUGCUGCUGAAUCACAAGCAGUUAACACUGGCAUUAGUGGGUUUCCUCUAAUGAGGCAGAGGGAGGUGGGUAGCUAAUGCGGCUAAUACUGGCGAGUGCUCAUCCAUCCUAAGGAAGUGGAAGACAUGAAGUAAUGCAGGUUAGAAAAGCUAGUAUGGAAGAAAUGAAUUUUAUUCCCGCCUUCCAGGAAUUUAUGCCAGCUGACUGCACUGGAUAAUAGAAAAAAAGGAUCUCUGACCCUCCUCAGUCUCUUUGUUUUGGAACAGAGGAAAAGUGGUCUUUUACUUAAAUAAAUCAACUUUUUGAUCACUGGGCGAAUUGGUA